UACGGGAGGCAGCGGUGGGGAAUAUUGCACAAUGGGCGCAAGCCUGAUGCAGCCAUGCCGCGUGUAUGAAGAAGGCCUUCGGGUUGUAAAGUACUUUCAGUCGUGAGGAAGGUGUUAAGGUUAAUAACCUUAGCAAUUGACGUUAGCGACAGAAGAAGCACCGGCUAACUCCGUGCCAGCAGCCGCGGUAAUACGGAGGGUGCGAGCGUUAAUCGGAAUUACUGGGCGUAAAGGGCACGCAGGCGGUUAAUUAAGUUGGAUGUGAAAUCCCCGGGCUUAACCUGGGAAUGGCAUUCAAGACUGGUUAGCUAGAGUCUUGUAGAGGGGGUAGAAUUCCAUGUGUAGCGGUGAAAUGCGUAGAGAUGUGGAGGAAUACCGGUGGCGAAGGCGGCCCCUGGACAAAGACUGACGCUCAUGUGCGAAAGCGUGGGGAGCGAAACAGGGAUUAGAUACC
rnacentral:rRNA from 1 species